AGACAGGUGCUGCAUGGCUGUCGUCAGCUCGUGUUGUGAAAUGUUGGGUUAAGUCCCGCAACGAGCGCAACCCUUAUCCUUUGUUGCCAGCGGUUCGGCCGGGAACUCAAAGGAGACUGCCAGUGAUAAACUGGAGGAAGGUGGGGAUGACGUCAAGUCAUCAUGGCCCUUACGACCAGGGCUACACACGUGCUACAAUGGCAUAUACAAAGAGAAGCGACCUCGCGAGAGCAAGCGGACCUCAUAAAGUAUGUCGUAGUCCGGAUUGGAGUCUGCAACUCGACUCCAUGAAGUCGGAAUCGCUAGUAAUCGUAGAUCAGAAUGCUACGGUGAAUACGUUCCCGGGCCUUGUACACACCGCCCGUCACACCAUGGGAGUGGGUUGCAAAAGAAGUAGGUAGCUUAACCUUCGGGAGGGCGCUUACCACUUUGUGAUUCAUGACUGGGGUGAAGUCGUAACAAGGUAACCGUAG
rnacentral:rRNA from 1 species